GACGAACGCUGGCGGCGUGCUUAACGCAUGCAAGUCGAACGGUGAAGCUCCAGCUUGCUGGAGUGGAUCAGUGGCGAACGGGUGAGUAACACGUGAGCAACCUGCCCCUGACUCUGGAAUAAGCGCUGGAAACGGCGUCUAAUACUGGAUACGAGAAGGGUCCGCAUGGGCACUUUCUGGAAAGUUUUUCGGUUGGGGAUGGGCUCGCGGCCUAUCAGCUUGUUGGUGAGGUAAUGGCUCACCAAGGCGACGACGGGUAGCCGGCCUGAGAGGGCGACCGGCCACACUGGGACUGAGACACGGCCCAGACUCCUACGGGAGGCAGCAGUGGGGAAUAUUGCACAAUGGGCGAAAGCCUGAUGCAGCGACGCCGCGUGAGGGAUGACGGCCUUCGGGUUGUAAACCUCUUUCAGCAGGGAAGAAGCGAAAGUGACGGUACCUGCAGAAGAAGCACCGGCUAACUACGUG
rnacentral:rRNA from 1 species